rnacentral:rRNA from 1 species
GCCAGCAGCCGCGGUAAUACGUAGGUGGCAAGCGUUGUCCGGAAUUAUUGGGCGUAAAGCGCGCGCAGGCGGUUCUUUAAGUCUGAUGUGAAAGCCCACGGCUCAACCGUGGAGGGUCAUUGGAAACUGGAGAACUUGAGUACAGAAGAGGAAAGCGGAAUUCCACGUGUAGCGGUGAAAUGCGUAGAGAUGUGGAGGAACACCAGUGGCGAAGGCGGCUUUCUGGUCUGUAACUGACGCUGAGGCGCGAAGGCGUGGGGAGCAAACAGGAUUAGAUACCCUGGUAGUCCACGCCGUAAACGAUGAGUGCUAAGUGUUAGGGGGUUUCCGCCCCUUAGUGCUGCAGCUAACGCAUUAAGCACUCCGCCUGGGGAGUACGACCGCAAGGUUGAAACUCAAAGGAAUUGACGGGGGCCCGCACAAGAA